UGACUUUUGACCACUGCAAUGCAUUUGUUGAUGAGUGGAUUCUAGUUGAAGAAGAAACAAUUGCAAAAGCUAUUUAUUUUAUGCUUUCCCAACAUCAAAUGGUUAUUGAAGGGGCUGCAGGAGUUUCUCUUGGAGCAUUUAUGGCCAAUGUUUCUCGGUUCGCUGGACAGAAAAGUGUUAUAGUCGCCUGUGGUGCCAACAUUUCCAUGACUAAACUAAAGGAUAUCAUUAACACAUCAAUGUAAUGUAGUAAGGGAUAGAAAAUGAACAUUUUGUAACCAAAAUUUAUCUUAUAUUUUAAUCAAUUUAGAGAUAUGAUGCAGGGUUAUGUUUAAACCUCCAGCCAAAGCAAUGGACUUGAAUCCCCAAAUACAACUACAGCAUGCAUAGAUUAACAUCAAACGCCAGGCAACUUCCUUGUGUCUAUAUGCCCCUUUAAGACAACACUGAUUACAUUUAUUCUUCCUCACUCUUGGUGGCCAUCAGCAAUGAUGGCCCAGUGCUUGCUUGGAGGUUAAGUGUUAUUGGUAUAAGGAUGACAAAUUUGGAUUUGUUAAAAUCUCACUAGCUUUCUUCUGAAAGAAGAGUUUAAAAAAAAAAAAACAGAUUUUCUUACUGUUUCUCUUCCUUUGGCAUUCCACUAGUCAGAAGAGAGGGUAAGGAAAUGUUUCUUUCACCUUUCCAGGGUUGAUAAAAAUAUUUUGGGGUCCAAUUCAAUCAAUUACACUCUGAACUUAGGAAUUUUUGAACUAGUUUCAGAGUAAGAAAUCAUUGUUUUUUUUUUUUAAAUAAAAAUUUGUUUUGCA
rnacentral:lncRNA from 1 species